rnacentral:rRNA from 1 species
UGGGGAAUAUUGGACAAUGGGCGAAAGCCUGAUCCAGCAAUGCCGCGUGAGUGAUGAAGGCCUUAGGGUUGUAAAGCUCUUUUACCAGGGAUGAUAAUGACAGUACCUGGAGAAUAAGCUCCGGCUAACUCCGUGCCAGCAGCCGCGGUAAUACGGAGGGAGCUAGCGUUGUUCGGAAUUACUGGGCGUAAAGCGUACGUAGGCGGUGACUCAAGUCAGAGGUGAAAGCCUGGAGCUCAACUCCAGAACUGCCUUUGAAACUAGGUCGCUAGAAUCACGGAGAGGUGAGUGGAAUUCCGAGUGUAGAGGUGAAAUUCGUAGAUAUUCGGAAGAACACCAGUGGCGAAGGCGGCUCACUGGACGUGUAUUGACGCUGAGGUACGAAAGCGUGGGGAGCAAACAGGAUUAGAUACCCCCGUAGUCCCUGAGCGGGCUGGCAAGGCG